CGCUCCGCGCCCUUGAAUAAACCCUGACUCGCUGUCGAGCGCCGGCGGGCCGGGCCGCCUGCCCGCCUGAGCUAUUCUGGUUGAAACCUGGAGCCCUAUGCUGCCACCACGAUAAAGAGCCAGCCCUCAUCCUCCUCUCUUGGUCCCUUAAGUCGCGCACGACGGAUUAGUAAUUACACACUUGUUUUUGUCUCUUUACCAUGAACAUUACCAAACCCAAAUUAAUAUUAGAUAGUUACUAGCAUUUUAUAAAAAUGUAAUAGAAUUAGGGCCGGGAACUUGGCUCAGUGGUUCCGCUCCCUGCCUCGCUAGUGUAAGGUUCCGAGUUCGAGCCCUGGUACCAAAAAAGAAAUAGCAUUAGUGGAAAAUAACUGAGCGUCCUAUGUAAUGAAAAUAUGUGUAGCCUGCAAAGCAUUCCACUUAAGUGUGGAGUUGGUCCUGACAUAAACUAUUGCUUUUCUUUUGUAUUUUUUAAUGUACUGAGAACAACUUACCACCAUGCCAGAUGGGCACUGUGGCUCCAGUUUACUAAGCAGGAAACAGCCCCAGCACACAGGAGUCCCUGUUGAGGGUGGAGAUGCCUUCUUCACUAAUAAGCUGAUUCUGUGCUGGAGAAGUGAGCUGGACCUUGAGUCCCAGGUCCCGAGGCGGGAGAUGCAGCAACCAGAGACCUCCAGAUACCUGCCAGGCUCCUGGCUGUGCAGCUGGGUGCUUCCCUGAGGCUAAUAGCCAAGCUACCAAAAAAUACACACAGCGUCCAGGUCCAGGAAUGCAGGCCCUGCCUUCAUCCCACGUCGGAAGCGCCCACACAUUCGGUGAUCAUGACCAGUGAGGCAAGGAACGUGGAGAAAUGAUCCCACUCUUCUGGCAAACCCCUGGCAGUUAAGAGUCCCUGCCUCACUUGCUCCACUGGCCAGAUAGAGAUACAGCUACCCUGCCCAUCUUCCUGGUGUACUCUGGGUCACCUCACCUGCAGACAGUGCCUGUGAAUGGUUUCAAGGCUCUCAGAGACUGGAGGCAGCUUCAGAGGCAUCCAGUAACCGUGAGCUGAUUACUAAGGUCCCCGCUGUGUGUAUGGAGGAGAGUGAAGCAGUUCCUAACGGACAGGUGGAGAUGUGGCGAUGGCCUGUCCAUCCCAUGCCGUGUCUCAGUCCAGCUGGGGUCACGCUGGCCAGUGUCCUGCAACAGCCCCCUAGGAAGAACCGAGCACCUCGGUGGCAGCUGGGAGGAGACUGGAGCCCUCACUUUGUACAGCACCAGUUGGUGGCUGGCGACAGGGCACACGCAGCUAGCAGGUGUAACUGGGGAGAGGGCCUGCCUGGGGUGUAGCCACCAAGUGGACAGCCGUAGAUCUCCAGCACCGAUUUGGAUGGCUAUGUCCAGCCUUACCUUGGUCACAAUCUAUUCAUACGAGCCAGUGGAGAGAUUGAGUUGGGUUGGAUUCUGCCAAUUGUUGCCACUGAAGAGGCUCAGAGGACUUUUCUGUUCCCUCACUUGAUGGUCCCUGCCGUGUCUAAACCAAGGAUUAUUCCAGGGACCCUGCCCAGCCCCUAGGGCCGCAGCCUGAAGAUGCAUACUAAGCCCUGCGUGGGGUGCUGGGAUACAGUAGUGAACAAGAUGGUGGGGCUGUGACUCAUGGAGCCCACAUAAGUCAAGGACACAGCAGCAUCUACAGGAAGGAGGAUGGUUGCUCGACUGGCUAUCGGUGGAAGCAGGCUAGGGCACUGCACCAUCUAGGAAGGUGAGAGUGUGGGGAGCCUGCAGAAGCUUCCAGACCCAGGCCAGCUUCUGGACAGGGUGGAGCAGGGACAGGUGA